AGUAACGCGUGAGUAACCUGCCUUCAAGAGGGGGAUAACAUUCUGAAAAGAAUGCUAAUACCGCAUGACAUAUCGGAACCACAUGGUUUUGAUAUCAAAGAUUUUAUCGCUUGAAGAUGGACUCGCGUCCGAUUAGUUAGUUGGUGAGUAACGGCUCACCAAGACCGCGAUCGGUAGCCGGACUGAGAGGUUGAACGGCCACAUUGGGACUGAGACACGGCCCAGACUCCUACGGGAGGCAGCAUG
rnacentral:rRNA from 1 species